rnacentral:lncRNA from 1 species
GAAGUCCUAGGAAUGCCACAUACUGACAUAGUGGUGCAGAUGCUUACAGAGUGGGUCAGGCUUGGAGAGAGAGAAAGAGAGAGAGAGAGAGAGAAAGAGAGCCAGAAGUCAUGUGUGUGUUUCAUGUUGUUCUUCUUUGCUGACAGGCACUGGAACCAGUUUGACCAAAGCCUGGAGCUGAAGGGGAAACAGUCAAAUCAUGGUUUUACUAACAUCUCUGCAGUUGAUGUUGCUCUCCUGGAUGUCAGCGCUCAACGCUGCCCAAGCUGUGGCGGAGAUCUGCCGCGGGACGCAGUGCUAUGCUGGGGGGGACGCCAAUGACCCACGGCCAUGCACCGGAGCGCACUGCCCCGGGGGGAGAUCGCUCCGAACUCUACGGCACCUGAACCCACAGACGGUGUCCAGCGUCCACCAGAACACCCCCAGGGCUCAGCCAGACUCCACCCCGGCCGUGCAGCUGCUCCGCGGGCGGCACGGUGGAGACAGGAGCGCACGGAUGAGAGCCCACGAUGUCUCACACGCAGGAUGCCCAGAAACAGACCCAGACUGCGCAGCGUUGGUGAAGCAAAGUCAGCCCGGUAAUGACACCCGGGAGUGUCGGGGCAUCGAGUGCAGACUGCCCCCAAGGAUCCGGUCUAAACACAGAGGGAAGCCGUGUGUUGGAGAGGGAUGUUCGGCUGUUUCCUCCGGCACCAGCCAGCAGCCGCUAGUCCGUCUGUCCGAUAGAGCUGCACAAUUCCUGGGUGACUUUCCCGAGUUCGGACACCCGUCCUCGGAUUAUGGCAGUGCGCCUUUGGGUGUCCAGCUCACCUGUGACAUCAAACCAGGGGAGAAUGAAGUUCCUUCAGAAGAUGCCCUCGUCCUGCACCUCCAACUGGCCAAAGGACAGGAGAAGCUUGUGGAGGCCCUACAAAACCAGCAGAACAUCAUCCGCGAGCUUCAGCAGAAGCUUGCUGACCAACAGGAGGCCCUUCUGUCCCAGCAGCGUGAGGUCCUGGAGCAGCAGCGGCUGAUGUAUGGGCAGAUGGACGUGGUGAAGGCUCAGUAUGGCCUCCUCUCAGACACCAUCAAACAGGUGUCCUUCCAGGGCCUGCAGAGUGAGCUGCAGAGUUACUUUGAGAGUCACCUUGUAGGACUGCAGAACCAAGCACGGAACCACCUGCAGAAGUCCUACGCGGUCCAUAAAGUAGACAUCGAGUCCAAAGUGAUGGAUGCAAUAGGGGAGGCUCAUUUCCCCCAGCCUCUGCUGGGAUGUCCUUCACCCUGCAGAUCAGAAGAAUACUGCGAUUUCCAGAGGGAACCCCCCCAGUGUGAGAAGUGCACCAUGUGUCCACCUGGGUUCUUCUUGAUCUCACAGUGCUCACCGACUGCAGACAGGAUGUGUCAGGACAGAGAUGAAUGCCUUGAAAUUCCAAAUGCUUGCGGAGAGCGAGGAAAGUGCCUUAAUACACCAGGUGGAUUCAGGUGUCUGGGAGUUUCUGAGAGAAAAACAAUAAUGGGCUUGUGUGGUCAGGAGUACUUUUACAACCAGGAGCUUCAGGAGUGCCAGGCCUGCUCAGAUUGUGAUGGUGAGCACGUCACUGUUCACUGCACUGCAAUCAGCGACACAAUCUGCAGCCAGUAUGCUGAGAACCGCCUCUCACAGUCUUGGACAUCAAACACAGCGCUUCCUCCUGCCACAACGUCUGGUGGCCACAUCUUCCCAGAGCUUCAGCUAAACAUGCAAAGCAAAGAAAGCAGUGACAUGCUAUCCGGCACGGCGGGACAGGUGACCUUUCUGCAGCACGGGCUGGUGUGGUUGGAUCUUAACUUUGCGAUAAAGCACAGCUGCAGGAACUUCCUCCAGCUGGGGAUGCGGCUCAAUGAUAGUCAGGAGGAAGAGGGUCGCGACCUGAGCGGGGUUCGCAUCGAGCAGCCGGAUGGGAAGUACUUCCAGGGGAUCAGUGUGAGCAGCGGUGUGGAGGUGGAGCCUAACCAGAUCUUCACAUUGGUGCUGAAGAGUCCCAACCAGUACUGCAAUCAGAGCAAGGACAUUCAUAUCUAUGACAUCGCUGCUCCUUCCUUCAGCAUGCUCUGGUUGUCUCAUGAUACAGGCGCUGUAGCAAUGACGGCUCAGAUGACCCUGCUGACGCACUACCAGAGCAGCUACCGUCCAACAUUUCGUGUGACCUCAGUGUCCGACCCUUACAUGAUCAGCCUGACCCAUGACUGUCGCGGGGUUCACUUCAAAGAAAGCGGAGUGGUGAAGUUUGUCCUUCAGCAGGCUCUUUACUCCAUGGGUCACACCUGUAUUCGAGAGGGUUUCUCUUUGAUCGCCUACACCAACAGCAACGGGACCGCCCAGGAGGCAAUGCAGGCUUAUAAAACAGGUGUUAACUACAGAGACACAUCCAUGACUCUGUCAGGAGCCGUCAACAUCAACAGUGGCGACACGCUCAGCUUUGAGAUUACAUCCCCGUCACAGUGUAACAUUCGUUACUUUGGGGACAGCACUGGGAUCAGUAUAAUGAGCCUAAUUUGGAUUCCUUCAGCUGUGUCUUCAGCCUUGUUGGCUACAGUGUCCAGGACUGGUCUUCCCCUUGGAGCAGUCAGGAAUAAACCUCUGUUGUUCCAGCAGAUCAGCACGGACACUCCUCAGCUACACUUGGCUCGCCCAGGGGAGCCCAACAGCAGGAAGAACUUCAUAUUCCACGAGAAAGG